GGAGAGGUGUCCGAGUGGUUGAAGGAGCCGGUCUCGAAAACCGGUGACGGUUCACGCCGUCCCAGGGUUCGAAUCCCUGCCUCUCCGCCA
rnacentral:tRNA from 1 species